rnacentral:rRNA from 1 species
UAGGGAAUCUUCCACAAUGGACGAAAGUCUGAUGGAGCAACGCCGCGUGAGUGAAGAAGGUUUUCGGAUCGUAAAGCUCUGUUGUUGGUGAAGAAGGAUAGAGGCAGUAACUGGUCUUUAUUUGACGGUAAUCAACCAGAAAGUCACGGCUAACUACGUGCCAGCAGCCGCGGUAAUACGUAGGUGGCAAGCGUUGUCCGGAUUUAUUGGGCGUAAAGCGAGCGCAGGCGGAAUGAUAAGUCUGAUGUGAAAGCCCACGGCUCAACCGUGGAACUGCAUCGGAAACUGUCAUUCUUGAGUGCAGAAGAGGAGAGUGGAACUCCAUGUGUAGCGGUGGAGUGCGUAGAUAUAUGGAAGAACACCAGUGGCGAAGGCGGCUCUCUGGUCUGCAACUGACGCUGAGGCUCGAAAGCAUGGGUAGCGAACAGGAUUAGAUACCCUGGUAGUCCAUGCCGUAAACGAUGAGCGCUAGGUGUUGGGGACUUUCCGGUCCUCAGUGCCGCAGCAAACGCUUAAGCGCUCCGCCUGGGGAGUACGACCGCAAGGUUGAAAC